UGUGUGGCUAAUGAGCUCUAUUCAGAACAAUACUGAGGGGUGGGGAGCGGAUAGAGCUGUCAUCUCAUGCACUUGGUUAAGCUUAGUAUUUUCUUUGUUAUGUGAAUGGAGUUUUGGAAAGUUAAGUCUAGCCAGUUGCAUGAUGUGAGAGCAACUCCGUCCGCAUACUUUUCCCACUUAUUGGACUGAAGGGAGCUCAAGUGGAUACAUUG
rnacentral:sRNA from 1 species